rnacentral:rRNA from 1 species
CCUACGGGCGGCAGCAGUAGGGAAUAUUCGGCAAUGGGCGCAAGCCUGACCCAGCAACGCCGCGUGAAGGAAGAAGGCUUUCGGGUUGUAAACUUCUUUUGAUAGGGAAGAACAGAAGACUGUACCUCUUGACUCAGCCACGGCUAACUACGUGCCAGCAGCCGCGGUAAUACGGAGGUGGCAGGCGUUGUCCGGAUUUACUGGGUGUAAAGGGCGUGCAGCCGGGAAGGCAAGUCAGAUGUGAAAGCCCGCGGCUCAACCGCGGAAGUGCAUUUGAAACUGUGGGUCUGGAGUACAGGAGAGGUCAGCGGAAUGCCGUGUGUAGCGGUGAAAUGCGUAGAUAGAAGGAAGAACACCAGUGGCGAAGGCGGAUGACUGGACGGCAACUGACGGUGAGGCGCGAAAGCGUGGGGAGCAAACAGGAUUAGAUACCCCAGUAGUC